GCCCCCGUGGCGGAAUUUGGCAUACGCGUAGCGCUUAGAACGCUAUCCCAUUUGGGUUACAGGUUCGAAUCCUGUCGGGGGCA
rnacentral:tRNA from 1 species